rnacentral:misc_RNA from 1 species
CCUCUAAUCUCAAAAAGCGUUUUCAGUUAUUUGUGGGUUAAAAAAACCAUCACAAGCCAUGACUUGAAUUUCCAGGAAGAAUUGUUUUCUUAUCAUUACAUGAAAAUUUUGCGUGAUUUAAAGCAGUAUAGUUUUUUUUAAAUCAUGUAUUAACAAGAGUACAUGUAUAAAAUAAUGUAUUCAACAGCAGUGGAUUAUUUCUCUUUUGAUGAUACUUACUGCAAUUUGUAAAUUUAAUUACAUGAAUAAAAAUUUAAAAUUAAAAU